rnacentral:tRNA from 1 species
GUCAGUUUGGCCGAGUGGUCUAAGGCGCCAGACUCAAGUUCUGGUGGAGAAAUCCGCGUGGGUUCGAACCCCAUAGCUGACA